CUUCGGCCCGAGUUGUAAUUUGCAGAGGAUGUUUAUGGUGCGGUACCUUCCGAGUUCCCUGGAACGGGACGCCACAGAGGGUGAGAGCCCCGUCUGGUUGGAUACCAAACCUGUGUUAAACUCCUUCAACGAGUCGAGUAGUUUGGGAAUGCUGCUCUAAAUGGGAGGUAAAUCUCUUCUAAAGCUAAAUACUGGCCAGAGACCGAUAGCGCACAAGUAGAGUGAUCGAAAGAUGAAAAGCACCUUGAAAAGGGGGUUAAACAGUACGUGAAAUUGUUGAAAGGGAAGCGUUUAUGACCAGACUUGUGUCGUGUGGCUCAUCCGAGGUUUUCCCCGGUGCACUCCACGCGGCUCAGGCCAACAUCGGUUCUCGUUGGGGGAUAAGAACAGUAGGAACGUAGCUCCUCUCGGGGAGUGUUAUAGCCUGUUGUACGAUACUCUGACGGGGACCGAGGACCGCGCUUCGGCUAGGAUGUUGGCGUAAUGGUCAUUAGCGACCCGUCUUGAAACACGGACCAAGGAGUCGUCCAUUAGAGCGAGCGUUUGGGUGUAAAACCCGCACGCGUAAUGAAAGUGAAAUUAGGUGAGAGCUUCGGCGCAUCAUCGACCGAUCCUGAAGUUUACGGAUGGAUUUGAGUAAGAGUUUUAACGGACGGACCCGAAAGACAGUGAACUAUGCUUGAAUAGGGUGAAGCCAGAGGAAACUCUGGUGGAGGCUCGCAGCGGUUCUGACGUGCAAAUCGAUCGUCAAAUUUGAGCAUGGGGGCGAAAGACUAAUCGAAC
rnacentral:rRNA from 1 species